CGUGGUGCUGCGCCUGCGGAUGAGGGCGGUGGAGGGGCAAACCGGCGCGCUGGUGCGGAGCUGGAGGCGCUCGGCGACGGCGGGCUGAGAUAGGGAGGGGCAGGGGUGCGAGUACGGGUACGCUCCCGUCCUCCCGGGGGGCUCCCGGUGCUCGAUCUCCCUCAGCCCGUGCGCCGUUAGCCGCGCGCUGCGGCGGGGGGAGCGGUGCCGGCGGGGGCGCUGCCGCAGCCCGAGGGCGCGGGGGGCUCCGGCCCCACGGCCGAAGGGCGCCGGUAGCGCGGCGGUGCGGUGCCGGGUGCGCAGCGCCGGGCGUCGCCCCUCCAGCCGCCGUCCCUUCCGCCCCAGGCCCGCGGGAACGGCCGCCAGCCGCCCAGCCAGCCCCCGCGCCGGCCCGGAGAAAGCCCGCUGCGGAGGGACUGCGGCGCGCUGGGGAAGCGCAUGUGUCGCCUAGAGAGCGUUGCGCAGCCACUGCAAGCAAACAUCUUCCAGCUGCAGGCAGAAAAGGAGCUGAAUCCAAAGCAUGCAGCCCAGCUGGAGCAGCACCUGAGUGCAGUCCACGAGGAGCAUUUGCAAGAAAUGAAGAUUGUACAGCAAGAAGCAAUGAAGUUGCACCGACACCUUUGUAAUAUGAAAAAGGCUGAAGAAAAAGUGAAAGAAGAAGUUCAGAGGCUGAGUAAAGCUCUGGAGAUUACAACUGCAUCCAAGGUGGAUGUAGUGAUUGCAGCUGAGGAACGCAAAACGGAAGAUUAACUGUCGACUGCAGGAGCUAAGACAACAGCUGUCCCAGGAGAUCAGCCUGCAUCAGUCCUUGGAGGAAUCCCAAGCAACUAUGAUGUGUCAUGUACAGGACAUGGAACCAAUGCUAGAAACAGAACAGAAGCAGGUACAGAUGUUACAGCAGGACUGCCAAGAGUUACGCAAAGAUGUCCAGCUUGCCCAAGCGAGGCUGCAAGGGGAGGAGGACAGAACUGCCCAACUGGAGCAACAGUGCACACAACUGAAAGCUGAGCUGGGUAUGACAGUGGGCGCUCGUCAUAUCUUCUUAGCCCUUCUUACUGCUUCCACAGUGAGAGGAAACCAGCACUGAGGUCCCGCAGACCCGUGGCAGGUGUAUCAGCCAACAGGGAACGGAGGGAGGUGAGAACUACUAAAGGCCUUUAGUUUGCAUGUGAUGUUUCUAAAGGCUCUUCUAAACCUAGAGGAAACUGACAGCAGUGGUAAUCACGGUAAUGAAUACACAACAAUAAUAUGAAAAGAUUCCAUCAGCAUAAAUUCUUUUCAUCUAGCAAGUAACCAUUAAUGCAUGAUUACUGAACUGAUUUGCAAGUAGAAUGCCCAUUUGUACUGAGUCUUUUUACAGAUGAUUAAAAAACAUCAGUAUAAGGACAAGCCUCUCGGAUAAGCCUCUAGCUGAUCUCAUUUAGAUUCCUGGUCUACUGAUGUGAAAGUAGCUGCUUAUAAGGGAGCUGAGUGGCAUUUAAUGCGCUCCAGGGUAGGGGGAAGCUCCAUAUUGUCAAAAUUAAAGGUAACGUUCCUAACCUAAAGUCUGUUCAUUAUUCCUAAAUAGCUCGCAGUAACUGCCUAAAUCCUGGCAUAAUUAUUGUUCUUGUUGAUCCUUCCCUCAGGACCUGUAAAAGGAGUAACUAGAAAUCUGAAACAGAAGCGUUGCCAUUUCCCAGAUUUUUGGUUUGUUAUUCUGCAAAUCACACAUGCGAUAAUAAACUCACAUAAAAAAGCUCACAAAAGGCAGUGGGAAUUUCUGCAUAAGGCAUGGCAAGAGGAGAGAAACUUGUCAUCAUGUUGUGGCAGUUGGCUGAAUGGGGGACAAUGAUACCAAAAUAAUUCUUUCCUUCAGAACAAAGUCAUAGGCAAAGGACAAAUUUAAAUGAGAUGUACAAGUUUUCUUUGCUUCUAUAUCAAAUAAUCCUGCUGAUCAAGGCUUUUUCCCUUUGUUAAUUGAAGGAAGUUUUGAGUGAUCCUUGGAUGAUACCGUAGAUGUCAUGAUAUUUUGGCUAGAAUUCCCUCCCUGCCCUGCUCAUGGUGAAUUGUCUCUUGUUGUCUUCCUCUUUUUCCGGUACGUUAUACAGCACAACAGAAUCAGAGGCUAGCUAUUACAGAUAGGUUGACUGAAAUUCCAACAAAAAUGCUUCUGCUUUUAGAUCUGUAUGGUUAGAGCAGGGAUGUAACUUGUUCUUUGUCAAUGCACAAAAACUCGUAAAGUUGCAUAUGGGCUGUGGGUUAUAGUCAAGACAAAUCAGUUGCUUACACACUAGACAGCUGAAUAAGAGACAGGGUUAUUUGAUUUGCUUAAGCAGUCGCAGAAGUGGUAUGUGUAGGAGAUUGGCAUGAUGGCAUGCUUAAUUUAAAAUUAAAUUACAAUUAACCUAGGUUUAGCCAGAGGAUUCUGUUAAAUGCUAUAAAGAUCAUGUGAGAAAAACUGGAGAAUAGUAUAGACAUUCUCAGUCAAAGGUCAUUGAAAACCAAACAGUAUAUUGGGGUUAAUAAAGGAGACUUGAACGCAGUGAGUUAUGACCAUGAAAUUCAAAUUAGAAUGAUGGUUAAUUUCAGUUGACUAAUUGAUGACAAUGAAGAAAUGGCUGAAAAUUAACAGGGAUCAAAACCUUUUUGUUUUUUGUUUGAAAGAGAUAUAGAUGAAAGUUUAGGUUAAGAAACAUUAGAAUCAACAACUGGUUUUGACUGAAAACCCAGCUUCUUGUAUCUGUAGCACUUCCUGAAGCCUGGGUGCUAGGAGUUCAAGAAGCAUUGGAACUACCGGUUGAAACACUCAAAAAACCUCAAGGACACCACCCACGCUCAGCUUGGGCUUAAACCAGGGGCAGGACAAAGGUUAUAUAAUUACAGGAAGCUGUUUCCAUGUUCAGAACCAUUACGCACUCUUGGCACUACUAACUACUAAGCAUGCAGGUUACUUAUAAAAGAAUCCUUUUAAGAGACUCUAAGAGAUGACUGAUUUUCCUGCUCCUUUUCCUAAUGAUUUCUUGUACUGCAGAUGGCAAACCUGCAGCACCAGCUGGAUGCAGCGAAGUAUGAUAACAGUAAGGCGAGAUCCACGCUGGAGCAUGUCUUAGCUUCUUAUAAGAAGAUGCAAGCAGCUCUGGAUGCGGUACAGACUGAGCUGGGACACAAGGACACUGAAAUCAGCAACCUCAGAAAAGACAUGUGAGUGGAACUGAUUGUUUCUGUGGUCUGUCAAGACAGAUACAGUUGCAAGGUGGCAUCUUCCCCAUGGUUCUGGCUAAUGAGCUGUAGGACAGGUUUGUUUGAAAAGUUUCCUAUGUUGUUUCCUGCAACGCUGAAGCAUCCUUAGUGCUAGUGGACCAAGUACACCGAGUUCUUGUAGCUAAGUGCACGCUUGGCAGGCCUGGCGCAUCUUGUGGCAAGUAGGCAAAAGAGUUUAACUUCAGUGACGGGCAGAACUUAAUCUGGUUAAGGUAGAGAACUGAACUCUGAGAUGGUCACCGCUUCAGAAGAGAUGUCCACAAAUUGAUUUAAUGCAUGAUUUUUCUUUUAAUCCAAUCUCCAUUUCCAGGAGCCAGGCUCAACAGAAAAUACAGAUGUUAGAACUGGAACAUUGCCAGGCCAAACCGGUUGCCAUGGGAAGGCAGCAGAGCAGCCAGGUGGAGCCACUUUGUAAGGCACUAGAAAGUGCUAGAACAGAGCACAAGAAGCUUGUUCUUCAUUUGGAAGAAGUUCUGCAGGGAACAGUUAAUGGAAAAAGCCAAGACUGAGAAAAGAAUACGUGGAACACUUAGAGUCUUUGAAGAAGCAGUUUCUGACUGAACAAGAGGCUUACAGGAAAGCUGCCUGUCAAGAAUCUGCUGAGGUAAAGAGAGCCCCUGAAGAAUCCUUCUCCAAACUGGUCAAAGUUUGUGGUGCUAACAGGGACCUGCAGCAUAAAGUAACAGAGCUGGAAAAGUCUUUGUCCAGUUACAAGGAAAAGCUAAAAAGCCAAAGAGCUCAAGCCAGACAGUGAUGCUAACACCGACAGGGUGAAGGAGAUUGAAUCUGAACUGAGAAAAAUGGAAGCCACAGAAGAGGAGUAUCAGACAAAAAAUUAUGAAAAAUCACACGACAUCCAGAAAUGUAUGUCAAUGUUGAAAAGUGUGCAGAGCGAGAUGCAAGUGGUGUUAAAAAAACAACAUGAAGUGCAAGUGCAGAACAGGCAGCUGGGGACCCAGCUGGAAGUGGAGAGAAGGCGAAGGCAGCAGAUGGAAAACAAAUGUCAGGAACUGGAAAAAACAGUCAAACAUCUGAAGAAUUGUACAGAGGAGGCAGAAAAGAAGCUAAAGGAAGCCAGCAUGGAGUCAGUACAGGUGAGACCAGCUAGCAUUAGAAUAAUUCAUUGAAAGUAACAAGAUAGUAUUUCAGCAUGUGCACCAAGUAACCCUUUCCAUAAAAAAAUGAGAAUGUCUUUCAAUAAAAACCCUUUUUCAGAUAUAGGUUUCUGAAGAGUGAGGUGCAUCCCUGGGCUUUUCUACUAAGUGGCAUUUAUCAUACUUUUUUUAAAAUAAGAAAAAGAAAAAUAAAAUUUUUAUCUUUUCUGUGACUCACUUCAGCGUAGUGGGGCUUGUAAGAAGAGCUUUUGUCCCCCACAGCCUAUUGUUUUUAUCGGACUGGGGAUCUCUGUGCUAACCAACUAACCAAAAGCAUUGUGGCCAAGUACACUGCCCCCCCAGCUGCCCUCGUGUCACUCUGUAUGCAACAUCACGCAAAACCUCUUUCCCACCCACCCCACCCAACAAAGUCAUUUGUCCUUACAUCACCUCAUCCUUGCACUACUGUAUCACAAUGUCCAAAUUACUGUAGUUUGCAUGAUUAUAGUAGUUUGGGGUGAAAAUCUAGGGGUUUAGAUGUUAUAUAGGAUAUUAACCAGCAUAAAUUUUUUUAAAAAACAAAGCUAAUAGAGGUGUUCCAGCCUGAGGUCUCACAGGCUGCUUACCAGUCCAAGUACCGUUCUAGGAUUAGGAGGAGACUAACAGCAAGGGAGUAUUUCUACAGCAUUUUUCAGGCAAAAUUAGUCUUCCCUCACCUUCCUCAGGGCUUUGUGGUACUCGGCAUCCAUUUCCCCCUGCCUUCUUCCCAAUACCUCUGUGGUUUAUGCUGUGCUGGAGACCCAUGUUGGCUUUGUUACCCCCUAAGAGGGGCAGCUCUGUGGUGAGUGCCGCCCCCAUACACCCCUCUAACAGCGCUGGGAGAGGGUGUCGUGGGGAGCUCCUACCCGUGUGCCGCAGACACAUCUGAGGUGUAUGCUGCUCUGCCCUCUCUCACACAGGGCUCCACAACUGCAACAGCACAUGCAUUAACCGCUCUCCCUGCAGUUCUAAUCGCACCCGCUGCCUAGUCACCUUCAGCCUGGAGCUUGCUGUUGGUUCAGGUCUGCAGUUUCACAGCCUGCCAGUUAGAAACUCUGAAAAACCAGCAGCCAAAAUGCUGAAGAAAGCAAGGACAUUCAUUUCAGAGCGGGAAGCAAAGAAAAUAGGUGGGAGAAGUAUUUGCUAGCUCAUUAUCAGUCAGGAUUUCAGUUUCUUAAACUUCCUUCUGUAUUUCCUUACACAGGAGUGGAAGACAGACCCCUCUUCUAGUUUAGUUUGUUUCCUCCUCUUUUGCCAAAGGACAAACUUAAGCAACAAAGAGCACUACAGGGGCUGUUCCGUGCUUAGAAAAGGUCUCUUGAGCAUACUUCGUGUUUUGUUGAUGCUUGUUAACCAAAUACUGGUCUCAAAGCUAAUAGCUGGUGCAUUUUCUUCCCUGCAUUCAGCUUUCUCUCAGUGGUUCUCCUUCCCCUCACCCAUACCUCUUACAGAUACCCUUCCAAAAGCCGCGCGUACCUUGUCUGCGCAGGUGCAUCAGCCUUCUCCAUAAUUGAUAGCUCUCCUGUAGCUGGGUAAUUGGCAUCUAGAGAUGUACGUAUUAGACUGCCAAAAUUUUAAUCUCUUCUUCAGUGAUGACAGAGAUUCCCCAGACAGUCAUCAGCUUCAUAGAGCGCUGCAUCUUGUCCCAGGGGAAGCAGCAGGAGCUCCGGGUCGGUCGGUCAGCAGGGCAGGCCCCGCAGCCCAGCUCAGCCCAGGGCCCCACGUGAGCUGGGCAGGAAAUGAGCUCACUCAGCCCAGUGCUCCCAGCCCACCCAGAGCAUCACCUGCCCAGCAGCCUCCGCCCGCACCCAGCUGCUGGGGAAUCUUCACCUGCCCUGACCCGGGGCGGGGGGGGGGGGGGGUGUCGGUCUGUGCAAGUAGCAGGUGCCUGCGGCCUAUGAGUGCCUGCUUCAGUCUUGGACUCUGGUUUGAAUUAACACACACCUUUCACCUUGGCUUUUUGACCCACGUUCUUUGCCUUGUGAGGCUGAUAUUAACAAAACUACUGUUUACAGCAAACCCAUUAUUUUUAUUUAUUAUUAAACUAUGUGCUGUUGAUAUGCUACAUCUUUGCUUUCAUCACUUUUCUUUUACCAGCUUUAGUCCAAGGCCUGGCAGGUGCUACCAAAACAAACCUCCGGCGGGUUUGCAGAGGGGUCGGGUGAGUGACUGAGGACUGAGUCAUGUGGCUGUGGCUGGGUGCUGACGUGACUGGGACGGGGAGGAGGUGGCAGGACUGGCUGCUUCUAAUGGUAGAUGAUGCCUGGGUCUGAGAGCACAUAAGCCUUGGGCUACUUGAGGAGCACAUAAGGAAUUCAUUAGGGGUGUGAUAUCAUACCACACGUCAUCUUACCUUCGUAAGAGUUAGUGGAAUUUGUUCAACAUACCCCACUGGGGAAAGAGUAGUUGAAGCAGAUGACUUACAUCAUAAUAUGCUGAAAAUGAUUACAACACGGGCAGUUUUCAUGCUUUUUCAGCUAAGGAUCAGCUCACCGUCGUCACAGCUUACUCUUUCACGUGGCUUCAGUACAACCUAGCAUCAGUACAGGUGGUGGUGUUGCACUCUGAUCUGCUUCAACACAGCUGCUCGCAAACUCCUCUGUGGUCAGCGGUACUAUUUAUUCCUGUGGGAUCCAUACAUGUUAUUUGCAAUACUUGUUUAAUAGGGCGGGAAGUCUUGCGUACCUCUGGAGCUCCGAGUAGCCCGAGGACGGGCUGCAAUUAGCUCGUUCUGCUCCUCCAGAAAUUUGGUCCUAGACUGUAACUCACGUGGCAGGACUCUGGGCUAAUUCACGGUGGCCUGAGCCGCUCCUCCUCACAGCAAGUGUCCGUUCUAGGGGAGAAGGGCUGGCUGAGCACACUACUAAAGCUAACGCACACCUGAGCUUCAUGCAGUUGUGCUGCUUAAAAGCAGGGCUGUGCACUGUGGCUUUGGGUUUGUCCCAGCCAAGCUGGCUCCUUCAGAAACCCACUGGCGUCCCUGCCACCCCUGCACCGCAAAGCUGUGUGUGCCCUCUCUGCCCACGCAGCGCCCUCAGCAAACCGGUCAGUUUUGCUUGCUGUGAACUCUGGCUGUAAUCACAGCUGGGAAAGCGCCUUCUCACACAGCACUUGCCAUCGCACACUUUUGUUUAUACAGCACGCUUAAGUAGGUCGCCCGGCAAGGGACAAACGGUAGUGACCUUCGUCUGUGCAAAAGGACAGAGCAUACGGCAGCUGCAUGUGUACGAACGGCAUGGUGGCCACCCCUCUGCAGCGAGGCACGGCACACCUCACCGGUGGGGUCCCCAGCCCCACGGCAGCACCCCCGCUCUCGGGCCCUGCAGCUGCUGUUACUUCAUACAUUGAAGUGCAAAGGCUGAUGACAUGGCCGUGGCCAUGGCACCUGGUAUGUGUGCGCAGCGGGCGGCUGGUCCAGCUGCAGCAGAUCGUGUUGCUGCUUCUAACCCUGCUUGGGCUGCAGGGUGGAAAGCCGCAGGACAGGGUGUAACUGUGAGAAGGCGCUGGGCUACAGUAACCCCUAACUGUAGCGCUACCCUGAGUUUUGGCUACGCCUGUGACAGCAAGCGGUACCCCUUGGUGGGGCACAGGCAGACUGCCAAGAGCUGGUCCAGAUGUGCAGGACAUGUUUUGGAUUGGUUUUUACUUCAGCUUUGCUCCAGUGUGAUCCCGCUGACUCCCGAGCAACUGGAGCACUUCAGGAAGCCAUCCUGUCACUAGCUUUCAUCCGAGAGGAAUCUCGUUUGUCUGCUCAGAGCCUGCUCUGCAACGGUUACAAGAUGUGAAGAGGCCAAUAAAGACUAAGGAGAGCUUCAACAGAAGAAUUUUUACCCCUAGGUGAUGCAACAAUACCAUCCUGUGAGGCAGCUCCAGUUCACACAGCAAACACUGGGCCACCUUGACAAAACCAGUGAUGAGGCAUCACAAAGAGCAAGAAGUGAAACAAAGGUGAGGGACUCGUCCUCUCCGUUCUUCUGCAGCUUAUGAAUGCCCCUGGCUGACACAACUAAAAUGGCUGUUUAAUUUGCCAUGCUGCAAACUUGGCACGGGGCUUGGAAACAGCGAGGGCAGCGCUGCAUAAACACAGUGAAACACGCUGUCCCUCUGCGAGCUAGCGAGACUGCCUGGGAACGAGUCUCUCACCUCUGUAUUCCCACUGUGGCCCAGCAUAUCUCUAGUGAAGUGGACAUGCAAUAUAUAGUAAUUUAAUGUUUGAUUUGAGAUAAAAUUGCCUUUAAAAUUAGAUCUGUCUCUUAUUCACCGAUUUAAAUUCUGUGAAAUGAUCACAGAACAGCAAUACCUGUAACAGUGGGCCAAGCAAACGGCAGUUGGCUGCGAUACCGCAAGUAACAGGAGUACUUGGGAGGCAACAGCACGGUUUGGUUUCUGUUCAGCAAGCUACCUGGCUGGGAGGUAUUCUUCAGCCUUAUUUUGCUGUAGAGCAUAAGAUAUAUCAAUUUCAAAUUAAAAAAAAAUCAAUAAAAAUAUAAAAAAUCAUAUGCAUAGAACUAUAUACCUUUUUAAAUUUAUGUUAAAGCGUUGCAUCCUCCUUCUCUUGCUGGGUAGGAAGCAGCAUGCUUCCACCGUCAUGUGCUA